ACAGCCUCUGAUACUGUGCAGAAACCAGAACCUGGGACCUUUGGAAACUGUAGAGAUGGCAAAGGAGAACAGUAACUGAAGUGAAUUCAACGACAGCGAUAUGGUCACAUCAACAGACAUAAAGUGGCAGCUUUGUCAUAUCAGAGGCUGCACUUGGAGUCGAUUUCGUACAAGCCUGUGAAGAGCUGGGGAGAGAACCCACAGUUUCAAACAACAUUUCAGCAAACUUCUUGGACAUUUUAAUCAGGUACUGUCUGACUCACUGAAGUCGAGAAUCCCUGUGGCUGACCUGUAUAAAGUAGACUGCCUUGCGUGCCUCGGCUCCGCCUGUCGCCACCUCCCCAGUGUCAGGGUUUCAGGCACACACUGCCACACCCAGCUUUCGACACCAGUGCUAGGGAUCAGAACUUACGUCUUUUCCUGUGAGCCGCCACCACAGCCCCACCUGACGUCCUUUUGUGACCUGCAGAGUCUAUGGUGGCUUUCUUUUUGUUGCUGAUACUGGGAAAUGUGUCAUCUGGGAAGCCUUCUUCAUUCCGUUCAUCCACUCCCUCCACGUGUUAUCUGCUGAGCAGCGACCACACGCCAAGUACUGUUCUGGAUGCUGGUGGCUCAGCGCUGGAAGAAGACAGGCAUGCAGCUUGAGAUCUUGACAAGAGCCGUAGCCCACAAGAAGAGGAUUUUCUCUCCCUCCAAAAAAACCAACUCAAAAUGGUCCAAAGGUCUGGAACUCUGAAGUCAUUAAAGGAAAACUGAAGGAAGACACUUUAGAAGUGUGAGUAUAGGCACAGACUUUCUGGGAAAGACUGUAAUCGCUCAGGAAAUAAACCCGAGAAUUGACCACUGGGAUUGCUAAACUUGAAGUUUCUGUACAGCAAAGAAAAUGAGUGCUGAGACAGCCUACACACUGGGAGAAAUACUGCUAGGUAUACAUCCGACCGAAGAUUACUAUCCAGAACGUAUGAAGAACUCAGACCACAAUACCACCCCUACAACAACCCAGCCAAUAAAUGAGCUAAUGAAAUAAGCAGUUCUCAAAAGAUGAAAUGAAACGGCCGAGAAACAGGAAAAAUGGCCAACAUCCCUCCCAGUCAGGGAGGUACAAAGUAAAAACCACACCACGAUUCCAUCUCGCCGUGAUCAGAACAGCUUCAGAAAGAAAACAGUGAAUGCUGGCAAUUGUGCCAGAAAGAGGGGCGCUCGUAUCUGUUGCUAGGAAUGUGAAAGGAUUCAGCCACCAUGAAAGUCAGCACGAAGUUCCUCAAAGAACUAAAACUAGAACUACCAAUGACCAAGCCAACCACUUCGGGGAAUAUGCCUGAAGAACUCUAAAUCAACAGAGAUAGACGAACAUUGGUGUUUACCGAUGACCAAUAACCAAGUUAGGAAAUCAGCCUAGAUGUCCUUCAACAGAUAAAAGGAUAAAGAAAGUGUCUGUAGGGUGUGUGUGUGUGUGUGUGAGUGGGUGAUAAACAAAGUGUGUUGUGUUUGUAUACACACACAUAUAUGCACAUAUACAUAUAAUGGAGUUUUAUUCGAUCAAAAAGAAGAAUGAGAUUAUGUCAUUUGCUGGAAAACAGAUGCAACUGGAGAUAAUCAUAUCAAGUGAAAUAAGAUUCAAAGAGACAAAUAUUGCAUGUUUUCUCUCACCUGUGGAGCACAGCUUUUUUUAUAGAACAUUAAGAUGUGUGUGCAUACACAUAUAUUAGCAUUUACACACAAAUUUGGUGUGGAAGCACAAGAGAAACUUGGAAGGAGGCUAGUGGGAAAGUGGAGAGGAGAGAGGAGAGAGAGGCAGAGGUGUGUGUGUGUGUGUCACGGUCAGAACCCAUGAUAUAAUAGAAAGAAAUCGUAUUUAUUAAACCAAGCACUGUAUACAGUGAAUUUGCAUCAAUUUUAAAAAUAAAAAGAAUGAAAGAAAAGAAAAUUUGAAAGCAUGGCUGCAGACGUGUCACACUUGUCUAGCACGUGCACGCCCCUGGGUUCAACCCCAGCACCCCCAAAUGAUAGCAAUAUGAAGAGGGAGAAAGAAGAAGAAGAAGAAAAGGAAGGGGAGGAGGAAG